UGAGUAACACGUAUCCAACCUGCCGUCUACUCUUGGACAGCCUUCUGAAAGGAAGAUUAAUACAAGAUGGCAUCAUGAGUCCGCAUGUUCACAUGAUUAAAGGUAUUCCGGUAGACGAUGGGGAUGCGUUCCAUUAGAUAGUAGGCGGGGUAACGGCCCACCUAGUCUUCGAUGGAUAGGGGUCCUGAGAGGAAGGUCCCCCACAUUGGAACUGAGACACGGUCCAA
rnacentral:rRNA from 1 species